rnacentral:ribozyme from 1 species
AAAGAACAAAAAGCAAGAGAGAGAGCGGGUAUUGAAACAUGUGAUGCUUUUCUGUUUUCUAUGUUGGUGUCUAAUACCACUUCUUUUUUUUUCUUCUUCUUUCUUUUCUUCC